rnacentral:lncRNA from 1 species
CAGGUGCAGUAGGUGCUAGUCUGUAGUGUGGAGUCGAGGACCUGAGAUUCCCCACUGUUUAAGGGAAAAUGCGAAGGUUCUUUUUCACUAACUGUAUCUUGGCCAAAACAACCGAGUAGGUACUGAGCUCGAACACGUACAACUAUUGUCUGAUCUUAGGACGAAGACCCCAUUCGAACCUUCUUGUCUUCCUGCCUUCAUCUAUCAUGCUCUUAGGGAAAUAUCUGCCCAACUCUAAGAACUUUCGAGCAUAUUUUGAUACAGUCAUGUCACCCUAGACCAGAUGUGCAAACUUCAUUUCCUUCAGAUGUCGGAGAUUCUCUGAAAGGUACUCUACAUUGAAGGCCGUCAAAAAUUAUUCCCAAGUGAAUGGAACGGGCAGGGUGGUUCGCUUGAGUUGCCACCAGCAGCCUACCUCUCCCACCAGCAUGUAGGCGGCAAGUAUGACCCUCUGUUCAAGAGUCACCCCAAGAGUCGUGAAAGUCUUUUCUGUCU